CUGCUCAGACCGCACAUUGCUCAGUGAUCCUGUCUGCAUUACACGUAAAGCGAAAAUUCUUACAACUACAGGAAUUGUCCAAGAUAUUUCAACCCAUUAAAAAUUUUGUCCUUUCUGUGGAAUGGUGUACCAUUACCAAGAGUGGGCUAAUGGUUUGCAUAACUUCAAUGACCAUGUCCUCCUUGAACUCUCUCUCUGCCUCACCAUAAGAAACCUGUUGCAGGUGCAUACAGCAGUCAGCAGAGUAGUGGAGUACUUGGAGGUAACUACAGGUGUACAGUUCCCCUCAGCAGUUACUCUUCUCCACGGCUAUCUGCAUUUUGAGGCCCUAACUGACCAUGAAUACGAGUAUUCAUGUGUAUCUUGUGGUGACCAUCCACCUGUGGUCAUAAUGGACCUCCACAAGAAGGCAUCCUUUCAUCUCUCUGUGAGUGAUCUUUCACAGCCUCCACAAGAUUUUAAUGGAGAGGUGGAUUUAGAUAUGUUUUGGAAGGCACUGACAGAAGAACGAAUUGCUCGA